AUGAGAACUGGGGUCUGGUUGCUAGGUGGCGUGAGGAGGAGUCCGGGAGGAGGGCCUGCAGCACGCAGGGCACCCAGGUGUUUCCGUUCCAGGACCUCCCGCAGGCACUUUGCUCUCUCGAGGUUCUGCCGGAUCCGGCUUCGUCUGGGAACACCGGCGAAGGUAGCGGUGCCUUGGGCAGGAUUCUGCCCGUCUCUGAGCCUCCCUUCCACCUUGCUGCAUUCCAGCCUGGCCUCUGCCUGCUCCUCCAUCAGGUCCCCGCUUACAACCGCCAGCAACCCCUCCUUCACCAGGCCCACCUUUGGCCCUCAGGGCGCUGGCUGUUGGGCUGGUUUUUCGAGAAAGCAAUACGGUGACGCUAUUCUUCAAAGGAAAGACUCCAAGAGUAGGAGUGAUAUCUCCUGGGACAAAUUCGAGACACCUCACAGCUGCUGGCAGCAACGACUGGACCCAAAAAUGUGGGUUGCUACUUUCAGCUGGAGGCAGCAGAACUCUGACGGGCCGUCCAGAGCCCCCUGUGCAGUAAGCCAAGCUGUGAGACCCCCGCUGCAGCCUAACUCCUCCUCUGCCCAGUUCUGCCAUCUCCCUUUCCACAGGUGUUGA
rnacentral:lncRNA from 1 species